CACGUAGUUAGCCGUGACUUUCUGGUUGGAUACCGUCACUGCGUGAACAGUUACUCUCACGCACGUUCUUCUCCAACAACAGAGCUUUACGAGCCGAAACCCCUCUUCACUCACGCGGUGUUGCUCCAUCAGGCUUGCGCCCAUUGUGGAAGAUUCCCUACUGCUGCCUCCCGUAGGAGUAUGGACCGUGUCUCAGUUCCAUUGUGGCCGAUCAGUCUCUCAACUCGGCUAUGCAUCAUCGCCUUGGUAACGCCGUUACCUUACCAACUAGCUAAUGCACCGCAGGUCCAUCCCAGAGUGAUAGCUAAAGCCAUCUUACAAACAAAGCCAUGUGGCUUUUGUUGUUAUGCGGUUAUUAGCAUCUGUUUCCAAAUUGUUACUCCCUCGCGUCCGGGGCUACGGUUACCUACGUGUUACCUCGACCCCGUCCGCCACUCACGUGGUGACUUCCAACGUCAAUCAGGUGACAGCACCAUCAAUCAGUUGGCCAGU
rnacentral:rRNA from 1 species